rnacentral:rRNA from 1 species
UACGUAGGAGGCAAGCGUUGUCCGGAAUUACUGGGCGUAAAGCGCGUGUAGGUGGUGGGACAAGUCUGCUGUGAAAGCGCCUGGCUUAACCGGGCGAGGUCGGCGGAAACUGUCCGACUCGAGGACGGUAGAGGGGGGUGGAAUUCCCGGUGUAGUGGUGAAAUGCGUAGAGAUCGGGAGGAACACCUGUGGCGAAGGCGGCCCCCUGGGCCGGCCCGGACGACUGAGACGCGAAGGCGUGGGGAGCGGAACGGG